rnacentral:tRNA from 1 species
GGAGGAAUAGCGAAGCGGUCAUAACGCGGCGGUCUUGAAAACCGUUUAGGGGAAACCCUACGGGGGUUCGAAUCCCUCUUCCUCCGCCA